GGGGAUCUCAUUUAUCCUCAAAACAACCCUAUGAGUUUACUUUCGACUUGAACAUGGAUGAGAUGUCUGGAGCUGAAGCAGCCAUUAUUUAUCCAAGAGAAUAGCUGUGGUUGGCCCUGAGCUCAUUAAAACCUGGGUCAGCAACUACCAACCUCUAGGCCUUCUGCCCUGAACAUGCUCAAUUAAAACAAAGAAAAAAAUACCCUGCCUGGGUUUAAGUGGAUCCUCCUGAUGCAUACAUGCUUAGAAGCUGAAGUGUCCAGAAGCUAUUCAGACUGGGAAGCAGUUUGGAAGACGCAUGAUGGCAGCCCCAUUGUGGGACACUGCCAACCCACGGCCAUCUCGCUCAGGAGGGUCCUCCAGUCUGCACACGCUUUCCUGCUCAGCGGGCAAGUCCUUCUGCCUUCCUGUCCGAUUACCUGGCCCGACUACGAGGUCCUGUUCCCUCACCAAGGCCCGUCCAACUCCUGAUCGGCUGAUUACUCCGUGCAGAGCCUUCACCAGCAGGAGACUGCCUUGGCAGCCCGCGCCUGCCCGUGGCCAGCCCAGAUUGGUGGCACCUCCCCGCCCUCACCGGCUGCCGCCAGGGUUUGCUUUGUUUUUGUUUCUGUUGGCUCUGUUUGGAGUCUACAGAUGUGGUCAGACCGGAGAGGAGUAGGGGCGCGGGGGCUGCCAGCAAAGGGGAGAAUAAAAGAGCCAAUCAUUUCUG
ensembl:lncRNA